CGCAACUAAAAGGAAUGUAUUGUUUUCAAGGUUAGUUUAUGGAUUAAUACAUUAAUAUCCGUGGAAUUAGUAGGAACACCCCUGAAACGUUUACGAAGACGACUGUAAACGUAACGCAGAAUCAUAUACGAGAGGUACAAAAAGAACAGGUAACCUGCCAAGAUGUAACAAAGCAGGUCGAGCAUGUAAUACUUGAAGAAUGACACUCCCACGAAAGAAGAUCGAAGGGGACGAGCGCCGUUGUGACGAAGAACGUACUCCGUCCACCAGACAGCGUUGUCAGGUCCAGAUAUGACAGGAUCGUAAACCAUGUCCUUGAGUUUGAUCAUAGCUUUUUUGUACCUGUAAAAAAUAUGAAAAUUAGUUAACUAUAAUAUAGGUACUACGUCAAAAUUACAA